rnacentral:rRNA from 1 species
GACGAACGCUGGCGGCGUGCCUAAUACAUGCAAGUUGAGCGCUGAAGGUUGGUACUUGUACCAACUGGAUGAGCAGCGAACGGGUGAGUAACGCGUGGGGAAUCUGCCUUUGAGCGGGGGACAACAUUUGGAAACGAAUGCUAAUACCGCAUAAAAACUUUAAACACAAGUUUUAAGUUUGAAAGAUGCAAUUGCAUCACUCAAAGAUGAUCCCGCGUUGUAUUAGCUAGUUGGUGAGGUAAAGGCUCACCAAGGCGAUGAUACAUAGCCGACCUGAGAGGGUGGUCGGCCACAUUGGGACUGAGACCCGGCCCAAACUCCUUCGGGAGGCAGCAGUAGGGAAUCUUCGGCAAUGGACGAAAGUCUGACCGUGCAACGCCGCGUUAGUGCAGAAGGUUUUCGGAUCGUAAAACUCUGUUGGUAGUGAAGAACGUUGGUGAGAGUGGAAAGCUCAUCAAGUGACGGUAACUACCCAGAAAGGGACGGCUAACUACGUG